UACGAAGGGGGCUAGCGUUGCUCGGAAUCACUGGGCGUAAAGGGUGCGUAGGCGGGUCUUUAAGUCAGAGGUGAAAUCCUGGAGCUCAACUCCAGAACUGCCUUUGAUACUGAGGAUCUUGAGUACGGGAGAGGUGAGUGGAACUGCGAGUGUAGAGGUGAAAUUCGUAGAUAUUCGCAAGAACACCAGUGGCGAAGGCGGCUCACUGGCCCGAUACUGACGCUGAGGCACGAAAGCGUGGGGAGGCAAACAGG
rnacentral:rRNA from 1 species